GCAGCCGCGGUAAUACGUAGGUGGCAAGCGUUAUCCGGAUUUACUGGGUGUAAAGGGCGUGUAGGCGGGACUGCAAGUCAGAUGUGAAAACCACGGGCUCAACCUGUGGCCUGCAUUUGAAACUGUAGUUCUUGAGUACUGGAGAGGCAGACGGAAUUCCUAGUGUAGCGGUGAAAUGCGUAGAUAUUAGGAGGAACACCAGUGGCGAAGGCGGUCUGCUGGACAGCAACUGACGCUGAGGCGCGAAAGCGUGGGGAGCAAACAGGAUUAGAUACCCC
rnacentral:rRNA from 1 species